rnacentral:rRNA from 1 species
CAGCAUACUGCCGUGAAUACGUUCCCGGGCCUUGUACACACCGCCCGUCACACCAUGAGAGUUGGGAAUACCCGAAGCCUGUGAGCUAACUGUAAGGAGGCAGCAGUCGAAGGUAGAAUCAAUGAUUGGGGUAAAGUCGUAACAAGGUACC